rnacentral:rRNA from 1 species
AACGAACGCUGGCGGCAUGCCUAACACAUGCAAGUCGAACGAUGGUCUUCGGAUCAUAGUGGCGCACGGGUGCGUAACGCGUGGGAAUCUGCCCUUGGGUUCGGAAUAACAGUUGGAAACGACUGAUAAUACCGGAUGAUGUCGAUAAGACCAAAGAUUUAUCGCCCGAGGAUGAGCCCGCGUCGGAUUAGCUAGUUGGUGGGGUAAAGGCCUACCAAGGCGACGAUCCGUAGCUGGUCUGAGAGGAUGAUCAGCCACACUGGGACUGAGACACGGCCCAGACUCCUACGGGAGGCAGCAGUGGGGAAUAUUGGACAAUGGGCGCAAGCCUGAUCCAGCAAUGCCGCGUGAGUGAUGAAGGCCUUAGGGUUGUAAAGCUCUUUUACCCGGGAAGAUAAUGACUGUACCGGGAGAAUAAGCCCCGGCUAACUCCGUG